CAAAACAUAUGAGAGUCAUGGUAAGAAAGAAUAUUUUUAUUUGAAACAAGAAACAAGAAUCAUUUAAUUAUUUUGAAACAAAAAACAAGAAACAAGACAACCAUUUUCUCUUCACUUUCUUUUGGAACAAGACCAUCGUUUUCUUUAAAUGCAUGCAUGUGUGAUGUUUUUCUUCUCUUCAUGUUUUUUUUUUUCAUUUUCUUUCUUCACUUCUUUCUUCAUUUUCUUUCUUCACUUCUUUCUUCACUUAUUUCUUCAUUUUCUUUCUUCACUUCUUUCUUCACUUCUUUCUUCACUUUCUUUUAGCACAAACAUGAAACAAGACAACCAUUUCCUCUUCAUGUUUUUCUUCACUUUCUUUUGGAGUACUUUUUCAACCAUCACUGGUAUCAAUAACCCUUCUAGUUUCAACCUAUUUCCUAGAACCAACCCAAAAAUAAUUCAAGUAUCAAAGAAUGUGGAAACAUAUUGUUAUGAUCAAACAAUUGAUCAUUUUUCUUAUAGACCUUUAAGCUAUUCAAAGUUUAAACAACGCUAUUUUGUGAAUUUCAAGUAUUGGGACGGUGCUAAUUAUAGUGCCACAAUACUUGUCUUUUUGGACGGGGAAAGUUCAAUAAAUGGUAUUCCUUAAUUUUUUUAAUCUAUUAGUAGAUGAUACAUAGUAAUAGAUAAAAAUAAAUGCUCUUAUAGUCAUUAAAUUCUCACUAUUAAACUAAUCACCAAUUAAUAUGAUAAGAGUAAAUCAAAUUUCCUUUAAAGUAGAUCAUAAGAGUCCUCCUUAGUCUUUACACAAGCUCAUCAACAUAAUAUUGAGCAAUUCAUCUUUUUCUUAUCUUCACUUCUUUCUUUUGGAACAAAACCCCCCAUUUUCUUUAAAUGCAUGCAUGAUGUUGUUAUUCUCUUCAUGUGUUUCUUCACUUUCUUUUAGCACAACCAUUUUCUCUUCAUGUUUUUCUUCACUUUCUUUUGGAGUUCUUUUUCAACCAUCACUUGUAUCAAUAACUCUACUCAUUUCAAUCUAUUUCCUACAACCAACCAAACAAAAAUUCAAAUAUCAAAGGAUGUGGAAACAUAUUAUUAUGAUCAAACAAUCGUUCAUUUUUCAUAUACACCUUUAAGCUAUACAAAGUUCAAACAACGCUAUUUUGUGAAUUUCAAGUAUUGGUGGAUCUAAUUGUAGUGCUCCAAUACUUGUCUUUUUGGGUGGAGAAAGUUCAACAGAUGGUAUUCCUGAUGGAUUUAUGACCGAUAAUGCUGCUACCUUCAAAACAUUAUUCGUGUACAUAGAGCAUCGAUACUAUGAUUGAUGAAUCUAUGCCAUUUGGUUCAAUAGACGAAGCUUACAAAAAUAUAAGCACUUUGGGUUAUUUAAACUCAACACAAGCUCUUGAAGGAAACGUUAUAGGCUCAAAAGUCUCCUGCCAUCGUGAUAGGAGGAUCCUAUGGUGAAAUGCUUGCUGCAUGGUUUAGGUUGAAAUAUCCCCACAUCGCGAUUGGAACUUUGGCGUCAUUAGCUCCACUUCUCUAAUUUGAUAAUAUCACACCACAAAAUGCAAAGCAUAUUAUGAUGUUGUUUCAAGGGAUUUCAAGGAAGCCAGUAAGACAUGCUACAAAAAUCUUGGUCUGUAAUUGACAAAGUAGCGUCUCAGCCAAAUGGUCUUUCUAUAUUAAGCUAGAGAUUCAACACUUGCUAUCCCUUGGAAAAGUCUGAUGAGUUGAAAGAGUACUUGCAAUUAAGUUACGUAUAUGAGGCCAUUCUCAGUCAAAUAUAUUGAGGUGUUGUGGCUUUAGCAGAAUAUGGCAAAUGCCAUGUUAAUUUCGAUAAAUAUGAUAACAAUGCACAUAAAUACUUCGGUUGGGAUUGACAGGUAUGUACUGAAAUGGUAAUGCCUGUUGGCAUAGGAAAGGGUACCAUGUUUCAACCCGGCACUUUUAACUUGAAGAAAUUUGUUCUACAAAAAGUUUGGUUACUCCAAUUUGUCUCGUUCUCAUUGGAUCACUACUUAUUAUGGAGGCCAUGUAUGAAAUAUUGUUUAAAUAGUAAGAUUAUAUUAUUAGCAACAUAAAACUAAUAGAGCUAUUCAUUGCUUGACUAAUGGAAGAAUAUAAGUUUGGUUCUUCAAAAAAUUUGCUAGCAACAUCAUAUUUUCGAAUGGACUAAAAGAUCCUUACAUUAGUGUCAGAGUUCUGAAUGACAUAUCAACAAGUCUUGUGGCCCUUCAUAUAGUAAAUGGAUCUCAUGUCUUGGAUACUCUAGGUGCUGAUAAAAACGACCAAAAAUAGUUGGUCGAUCAGCGAAAGAAAAAGGUGAAGAUAAUGAAAAGAUGAAUAGCUGAAUAUUAUGCUAAUGAACUUGUGUAAAGAUUAAGGAGGACUAUGUUUGUUGAAUUUUUAUUCAAAUUCUCUGGUAGAAAUAACUUUUGGGCAAAACCAAUUGCCUCUUGUUAAGGUGUAGUAUCCAUUGCCAGUGAAUAAUAUUUCUUAGGGCGCGUGAGAUACAUGAUUAUAUUUAUAAAUAUAUUUCUAUUUA